GACAGGAAGCAUGAAGAGAGAGUAGGAGGAGGACUUGGUCCAGACUAGGACUUGUGACUUGCAUGCAUCGUUAUGCGACACCACAGACUGAGACGCUGCCUGGCUUUAAAGGAGCGGAUACUUGACUUAAAACCUCACAAGCCGGCUGAUCAUAUGAUGUUGCUUUAAAGAGCCUGGAGCGGAUCUGUGAAUGGCGGCGCUGGAGCUUUUGACGUGCUUCAGGAUUUCACAUUUUUGCAGCCGUACAAAAAUGAGAAUCCAAAUGAAUUUCAUGUAGAAGAGGAGGACGUUUUGUUGCAGGGCAACAUUUACAGCUGCACC